CCUACGGGGGGCUGCAGUGGGGAAUAUUGGACAAUGGGGGGAACCCUGAUCCAGCCAUGCCGCGUGUGUGAAGAAGGCCCUCGGGUUGUAAAGCACUUUCAGUGAGGAAGAACGCCUGGUGGUUAAUACCCAUCAGGAAAGACAUCACUCACAGAAGAAGCACCGGCUAACUCCGUGCCAGCAGCCGCGGUAAUACGGAGGGUGCGAGUGUUAAUCGGAAUUACUGGGCGUAAAGCGCGCGUAGGUGGCUUGAUAAGCCGGUUGUGAAAGCCCCGGGCUCAACCUGGGAACGGCAUCCGGAACUGUCAAGCUAGAGUGCAGGAGAGGAAGGUAGAAUUCCCGGUGUAGCGGUGAAAUGCGUAGAGAUCGGGAGGAAUACCAGUGGCGAAGGCGGCCUUCUGGACUGACACUGACACUGAGGUGCGAAAGCGUGGGUAGCAAACAGGAUUAGAUACCCUAGUAGUC
rnacentral:rRNA from 1 species